rnacentral:rRNA from 1 species
CCUACGGGAGGCAGCAGUGAGGAAUAUUGGUCAAUGGACGAGAGUCUGAACCAGCCAAGUAGCGUGAAGGAUGACUGCCCUAUGGGUUGUAAACUUCUUUUAUAUGGGAAUAAAAUGUUCCACGUGUGGGAUUUUGUAUGUACCAUAUGAAUAAGGAUCGGCUAACUCCGUGCCAGCAGCCGCGGUAAUACGGAGGAUCCGAGCGUUAUCCGGAUUUAUUGGGUUUAAAGGGAGCGUAGGUGGAUUGUUAAGUCAGUUGUGAAAGUUUGAGGCUCAACCGUAAAAUUGCAGUUGAAACUGGCAGUCUUGAGUACAGUAGCGGUGGGCGGAAUUCGUGGUGUAGCGGUGAAAUGCUUAGAUAUCACGAAGAACUCCGAUUGCGAAGGCAGUUCACUGGACUGCAACUGACACUGAGGCUCGAAAGUGUGGGUAUCAAACAGGAUUAGAUACCCUUGUAGUC